rnacentral:rRNA from 1 species
ACGUACACUCCUGCGGGAGGCAGCAGUGGGGAAUUUUGGACAAUGGGCGAAAGCCUGAUCCAGCCAUGCCGCGUGCAGGAUGAAGGCCUUCGGGUUGUAAACUGCUUUUGUACGGAACGAAACGGCCUUUUCUAAUAAAGAGGGCUAAUGACGGUACCGUAAGAAUAAGCACCGGCUAACUACGUGCCAGCAGCCGCGGUAAUACGUAGGGUGCAAGCGUUAAUCGGAAUUACUGGGCGUAAAGCGUGCGCAGGCGGUUAUGUAAGACAGUUGUGAAAUCCCCGGGCUCAACCUGGGAACUGCAUCUGUGACUGCAUAGCUAGAGUACGGUAGAGGGGGAUGGAAUUCCGCGUGUAGCAGUGAAAUGCGUAGAUAUGCGGAGGAACACCGAUGGCGAAGGCAAUCCCCUGGACCUGUACUGACGCUCAUGCACGAAAGCGUGGGGAGCAAACAGGAUUAGAAACCCUUGUAGUCCCAUG